rnacentral:rRNA from 1 species
AACGAACGCUGGCGGCGUGCCUAACACAUGCAAGUCGAACGUGAUUGGAAGCUUGCUUCCAUGAAAGUGGCGCACGGGUGAGUAACGCGUAGAUAAUCUACCUGAUGAUUCGGGAUAACACUUCGAAAGGGGUGCUAAUACCGGAUAAGCCCACGGAGUCCUUGGACACUGCGGGAAAAGGGGGGGAUCGCAAGACCUUCCGUCAUCAGAUGAGUCUGCGUACCAUUAGCUAGUUGGUGGGGUAAAGGCCUACCAAGGCGACGAUGGUUAGCUGGUCUGGGAGAAGGAUCAGCCACACUGGAACUGAGACAGGGUCCAGGCGCCUACGGGAGGCAGCAGUGGGGAAUUUUGCGCAAUGGGGGAAACCCUGACGCAGCAACGCCGCGUGAGUGAUGAAGGCCCUUGGGUCGUAAAGCUCUGACAGAGGGAAAGAAAUGCAUGGUGGCUAAUAUCCAUUGUGCUUGACGGUACCCUCAAAGGAAGCACCGGCUAACUCCGUGCCAGCAGCCGCAGUAACAC